UGAACGCUGGCGGCGUGCUUAACACAUGCAAGUCGAGCGAGAAGUUUUGAAAAGAUUCUUCGGAUGAAAUUUAAAAUGGAAAGCGGCGGACGGGUGAGUAACGCGUUGGCAACCUGCCCCAUACAAAGGGAUAGCAUUUGGAAACGAAUAUUAAUACCUUAUGAAACUUAACUAGUGCAUGCUAGGUAGGUCAAAGAUUUAUCGGUAUGGGAUGGGCCUGCGUCUGAUUAGCUAGUUGGUGAGGUAACGGCUCACCAAGGCGACGAUCAGUAGCCGACCUGAGAGGGUGAACGGCCACAUUGGAACUGAGACACGGUCCAAACUCCUACGGGAGGCAGCAGUGGGGAAUAUUGCACAAUGGGGGAAACCCUGAUGCAGCAACGCCGCGUGAACGAUGAAGGCCUUUGGGUCGUAAAGUUCUGUUCUAGGUGAUGAAAACUGACAGUAACCUAGGAGAAAGCCCCGGCUAACUCCGUG
rnacentral:rRNA from 1 species